rnacentral:rRNA from 1 species
UACAGGGGGGGCAAGCGUUGUUCGGAUUUACUGGGCGUAAAGGGCGCGUAGGCGGCGCGGUAAGUCACUUGUGAAAUCUCUGAGCUUAACUCAGAACGGCCAAGUGAUACUGCAGUGCUAGAGUGCAGAAGGGGCAACUGGAAUUCUCGGUGUAGCGGUGAAAUGCGUAGAUAUCGAGAGGAACACCUGCGGCGAAGGCGGGUUGCUGGGCUGACACUGACGCUGAUGCGCGAAAGCCAGGGGAGCAAACGGG